rnacentral:ribozyme from 1 species
UUUUUUUUUUUUUUUUUUUUUUUUUUUUUUUUUUUUUUUUUCUGACAAGCCGCGUACU